AUGGUAUAUAGCGAUUGUUAUCUAGAUUUCAUAAAUUGUAUGGAAGUUGUGUCGCGGUGUUUCUUUUCAAUGAUAAUUUCACUGGAGUGAAUCAUUAAGGGAGUUUUGUGAAGCAUAUAAUAUUAUAAUACAAAUAUGUCUGCCUGUCUCCAUGGAUGUAAUUAUAUUCAAAGUUUUAUUUCAUAAAGUUAAGACUUACAGACUUUUCAGGUAUAAACAAGUGGAAAUUUAACUGAAUUGUAUGUGACUUGUUGAUUAUUGAACAUUCGUGAAGGAGUUGUCUUCAAAAUGCUUUGAUGUAAAGAUUUUAAACUAGCACAUUAUGUAGAUAUGUAUAUAUAGGGUAUUGAAACAGAAUGAUCAUUAUUAAGUGGAUACUUUCAUUAGAAAUUACAUGGAUUAAUUGGUAUAAUUAUCUCGUUUGGAGUGUUUCUUAACGUGCCAAUCAUAUUUUCAAUUAAGUAACGGAAGUGACAAAGUGUGAACAAAAAACAUGGAAACAAGCAUAUCAAGGCUUUUGUCUCGCUGCCAAUUAUAGACAGGGUAAUUAUUGUUUGAAUUGAGACACAAAUUCUGACUGUAAUGAGUGUUCAAUUGUGUUUAAGUCGACAGCUGAUUGGAUGUCGACUUUCAGUUUUGGAUUUUAAAUCGGAUAAAUAAAGUCAAACGACAAAGUUGACAGUUUAAUGAACGAUUCUGAACAAUACACAGAAAUUAUUCAAAUUUGUGUGAAUGUUAUAAACUAAUGGAGAAUAAUUAUAAUAACCGACAGUACAUGGUGAAAAUGAGUGUUUUAAUAGAAUGUGUUCAUUAAUAAUUCAAACAACAAAAGUGAUAUACUAUACUUAUGAUACACACAGUUUUGUGGUGAAAAGGAUGCGUAAGUGAUUGAUAAUAGUAAUACAUAUAGUAAAUACAUGCGCUGAACGCUAAACUUGAAGCCAGGAUGCAUAUGGAAGGCAGUCGUAGCGAGAUUAAACGUCGACACCCACAUCGACAGUUACACAUAAAUCCGGUUAAUCGCCGGUCAUGGCCCAUGGGACCAAGCUCGCCACUUAGAUUAAAGGUAA